AUUGAACGCUGGCGGCAGGCCUAACACAUGCAAGUCGAGCGAGCGGCGGACGGGUGAGUAAUGUCUGGGAAACUGCCUGAUGGAGGGGGAUAACUACUGGAAACGGUAGCUAAUACCGCAUACCAUCAGAUGUGCCCAGAUGGGAUUAGCUAGUAGGUGGGGUAACGGCUCACCUUGGCGACGAUCCCUAGCUGGUCUGAGAGUAUGACCCGCCACACUGGAACUGAGACACGGUCCAGACUCCUACGGGAGGCAGCAGUGGGGAAUAUGGCAUAAUGGGCGCAAGCUGGAUGCAGGCAUGCCGCGUGUGUGAAGAAGGCCUUCGGGUUGUAAAGCACUUUCAGCGGGGAGGCGUUACCCGCAGAAGAAGCACCGGCUAAAGACGUGCCAGCAGCCGCGGUAAUUC
rnacentral:rRNA from 1 species